rnacentral:rRNA from 1 species
ACAAUGCGGGACUAUCAGUCUUGCAAUUGGAUUGAGAACAAUGUACAACUCUUAUCGAUAAGCCAUUGGAGGGCAAGUCUGGUGCCAGCAGCCGCGGUAAUUCCAGCUCCAAUAGCGUAUAUUAACGUUGUUGCAGUUAAAAAGCUCGUAGUUGAAGUGUGGGUGAUCGCUGUUGUGAGACUUCGGUCUCUCGAUAGUAAGUCACCCCCUUCCAGUAUCCAGUAGUGGGUAUUCAGUUACUUACUAUUGUGUGUUGGUCGUUUACUGUGAGAAAAUUAGAGUGUUCAAAGCAGGCGUUUGCUUGAAUAGAUUAGCAUGGAAUAAUAAUUGAAGGCUUUCGUGUUCGAUUUGAUUGGUUUGUUCAUGGAAGCAAGGUUAAAAGGAACAGUUGGGGGUAUUCAUAUUCACUAGUUAGAGGUGAAAUUCUCGGAUUUAUGGAA